UCUUAUGGAUGAACAAAGAAAGUGGUUUCUUGAGACAGAAUCCGUUGCUGGCGAAGAUUCUGUGAA
rnacentral:pre_miRNA from 1 species